GAACUCUCCAUCCGUGGCGGCGAUGAUGUGAUAACGCCAACGGCGCCGCCCCCGGCCGCGCAGCAGUGGCCGGAGUUCGCAGCCAGGAAAGCCGACAGAUCGGGAUUGGCAGGCCGCACCUUGGCGUACUCGAUGGUCCAUUUCAAUCAUAUACAGAUGCUCUGCAAUUCUUCAGAUAUAAGCCCACACCACAGCUACGGAUCAUACAGCUGCACUGAAGAUUUUCCUGUGGGCAAUGCUGUUUGGAGCCCAUCACUUCAGCUCAUGGUUUCCAGAUGCCGGGCAGCAGGCCAGCAGCCAGAACCACGUUUUCUCAGGCUGGCACUGCCCAACCGACAGCCUGGGCCAUAAGCACAGCUCACUGCUCCGUUUCAAAUUCUAAAACCACCACGGAGCAUCAGCAUGACUUACAACAGAAGACAGUGUCCAGCGCAGCAAAUGAAAGUAUUCAGAGUGUGAUGGCCAGCUCACUGUUGCAUACACUGCCAAUAGCAAUAUCAGCUCUCCUUGUCAGAUUCACAGACACAAAUCACACAAUCCAGAGGGAAACAAAAGUCUGAGUGGAUUUCCUUUAACACGAUCUUUUAUUUGCUAUAUCUUGGUACAAGAUGGCAUCUGCCUAAAGGAUUUUACUAUAUGGACAGGGAAAAUACUUCUACAACACAAAUGCAGUCAGAAAAAGGGAGAAAAAAAAUAGAUCAG